rnacentral:rRNA from 1 species
UGCUCGUAGUUGGAUUUCUGGGGGUCGAGACAGGAGGGUGGCUAUGGCCACCGCCAGUCUUUUCCCUCGUCCGCCUAUUAACGGCGCUCGAGAUUGAGUUCUCGACGUCGAGCGUAGGCACUUUGAUUAUUUUUCUCUUGAGCAAAUUAUAGUGUUUCAGGCAGGCGUGCGCCGGAAUACAUUAGCAUGGAAUAUACUUACGGACCGUGUGUAGCUUGCUACAUUUCCUUAUUUGUUGGUUUCUUUAAGGACACGGAUUGAUUAAUAGGGAUAGUUGAGAGUUUUUCUCACCAGGGGAGGCAUUAGUAUUUAAUUUCCAGAGGUGAAAUUCUUUGAAAUUUUAAAGACUAACUUAUGCGAAAGCAUUUUCUUUUAAUCUGCCAAGAAUGUUUUUAUUUUAUCGAACAGAACGAAAGUUAGGGGAUCAAAGACGAUCAGAUACCGUCCUAGUCUUAACCAUAAACUUUGCCGACUAGGGAUCGGAGGGCGUGCACAUUCCGCCUCCGGCACCUUACGAGAAAUCAUAAGUAUUUUGGGUUCUGGGGGUAGUAUGGUCGCAAGGCUGAAACUUAAAGGAAUUGACGGAAGGGCACCACCAGGAGUGGAGCUUGCGGCUCAAUUUGACUCAACACGGGAAAUCUUACCAGGUCCAGACAUAGGAAGGAAAUUGACAGAUUGAUAGCUCUUUCUUGAUUCUAUGGGUUGAUUCGGUGGUGCAUGGCCGUUCUUAGUUGGUGGAGUGAUUUGUCUGGUUAAUUCCGAAUUAACGAACGAGACCUCAGCCUGCUAAAUAGUUAUCUGUCUUUUUAUGUGCUUGCACAAACCGAGACUGACUAACUUCUUAGAGGGACUUUGUGAGCAACCAGAAAGGAAGUUUGAGGCAAUAACAGGUCUGUGAUGCCCUUAGAUGUC